rnacentral:rRNA from 1 species
UUGAACGCUGGCGGCAUGCUUUACACAUGCCAGUCGAACGGUAACAGGCCGCAAGGUGCUGACGAGUGGCGAACGGGUGAGUAAUGCAUCGGAACGUGCCCAGUCGUGGGGGAUAACUACUCGAAAGAGUAGCUAAUACCGCAUACGAUCUAUGGAUGAAAGCGGGGGACCGUAAGGCCUCGCGCGAUUGGAGCGGCCGAUGUCAGAUUAGGUAGUUGGUGGGGUAAAGGCUCACCAAGCCAACGAUCUGUAGCUGGUCUGAGAGGACGACCAGCCACACUGGGACUGAGACACGGCCCAGACUCCUACGGGAGGCAGCAGUGGGGAAUUUUGGACAAUGGGCGCAAGCCUGAUCCAGCAAUGCCGCGUGCAGGAAGAAGGCCUUCGGGUUGUAAACUGCUUUUGUACGGAACGAAACGGCUCUGGUUAAUACCCGGGGCUAAUGACGGUACCGUAAGAAUAAGCACCGGCUAACUACGUG